AAAAAUGUAUGUGGAGCACAACAAAAGGCGCAAGAGGACCAUGGUUUUAUUCCAAGAAAAUUUCUUCUCUGAGUAUGUCAUAGAUCACACAAACACACCCAGAAUGACUAAUAAUACCAAUUUGAUUAGAAUAUGACAAAAAUUCUAGAAUGGUACAGGUUGCUUUCGUCUUUUAUUCGCGUAUCAAUCAAGGUUGCUGCUUCAAUGUAUGCGGAAAUGUUGGAAACACCCACCAUCUGUUUUUCAACUGUAUAGAAUGUUUUGAUCAGCCGUAGGUGGACAGGUUCAAAACAACGGUGUUGGCGAACCAUUGAAAAUCAAUAAUGUGAGUCCAAUUUUUAUACUUUUUCUCAGUGAAGGAUUCCAUCGUUCAUGUGAGUAUAAAAAUGCAGCGUGCAUUAUAAGAAAAAUUUAAG